rnacentral:rRNA from 1 species
CCUACGGGAGACAGUAGUGGGGAAUAUUGGGCAAUGGGCGCAAGCCUUACCCAGCAAUACCGCGUGAGUGAAGAAGGUCUUCGGAUUGUAAAGCCCUUUGAUCAGGGACGAACAGAUGACGGUACCUGAAGAACAAGCCCCGGCUAACUACGUGCCAGCAGCCGCGGUAAAACGUAGGGGGCGAGCGUUGUCCGGAAUGCCUGGGCGUAAAGGGUGCGUAGGCGGCAUAGUAAGUGAUAAGGGUAAUACCCAGGGCUUAACUCGGGUGCUGCUUCUAAGACUGUUGGGCUUGAGUGCAGGAGAGGUUGACGGAAUACCUAGUGUAGCGGUGGAAUGCGUAGAUAUGAGGAAGAACACCAGAGGCGAAGGCGAUUAACUGGACCGUAACUGACGCUGAGGCACGAAAGUGUGGGUAGCAAACAGGAUUAGAUACCCCGGUAGUC